GUAAAGCUCAUCGAAAAUAAACCUUACAAGCAAAGAAUUUGGGGGCUGUCCCUGACAAUGGUGUGCAAGCCCAGCUCGUACUGGGAAGCCUAAAGUUGUUAUCAUGGCCACCCACCUUAGAUUUGAGGUUUAUUUCAGAGUUGUCUUCGGGCCUUUUU
rnacentral:other from 1 species